rnacentral:rRNA from 1 species
AGUGAACGCUGGCGGCAGGCCUAACACAUGCAAGUCGAACGAGUGGCUGACGGGUGAGGAAUACAUCGGAAUCUACUCUGUCGUGGGGGAUAACGUAGGGAAAGUUACGCUAACACCGCAUACGCUUGUAUGCCCCGAUGUCGGAUUAGCUAGUUGGCGGGGUAACGGCACACCAAGGCGACGAUCCGUAACUGGUCGGAGAGGAGGACCAGUCACACUGGAACUGAGCCACGGUCCAGACUCCUACGGGAGGCAGCAGUGGGGAAUAUUGGACAAUGGGCGAAAGCCUGAUGCAGCCAUGCCGCGUGUGUGAAGAAGGUCUUCGGAUUGUAAAGCACUUUGAGUUGGGAGGCGUUACCUACAGAAUAAGCACCGGCUAACUUCGUGCCAGCAGCCGCGGUAAUUC